rnacentral:rRNA from 1 species
UGCCAGACUCCUACGGGAGGCAGCAGUGGGGAAUAUUGCACAAUGGGGGAAACCCUGAUGCAGCGACGCCGCGUGAGUGAAGAAGUAAUUCGUUAUGUAAAGCUCUAUCAGCAGGGAAGAAAAUGACGGUACCUGAGUAAGAAGCCCCGGCUAACUACGUGCCAGCAGCCGCGGUAAUACGUAGGGGGCAAGCGUUAUCCGGAUUUACUGGGUGUAAAGGGAGCGUAGACGGCAUGGCAAGCCAGAUGUGAAAUACCGGGGCUCGACCCCGGGACUGCAUUUGGAACUGUUAAGCUGGAGUGUCGGAGAGGCAGGCGGAAUUCCUAGUGUAGCGGUGAAAUGCGUAGAUAUUAGGAGGAACACCAGUGGCGAAGGCGGCCUGCUGGACGAUAACUGACGUUGAGGCUCGAAAGCGUGGGGAGCAAACAGGAUUAGAUACCCCCGUA